rnacentral:rRNA from 1 species
GAAUAGGGGAGCCGAAGGGAAACCGAGUCUUAACUGGGCGUUAAGUUGCAGGGUAUAGACCCGAAACCCGGUGAUCUAGCCAUGGGCAGGUUGAAGGUUGGGUAACACUAACUGGAGGACCGAACCGACUAAUGUUGAAAAAUUAGCGGAUGACUUGUGGCUGGGGGUGAAAGGCCAAUCAAACCGGGAGAUAGCUGGUUCUCCCCGAAAGCUAUUUAGGUAGCGCCUCGUGAAUUCAUCUCCGGGGGUAGAGCACUGUUUCGGCAAGGGGGUCAUCCCGACUUACCAACCCGAUGCAAACUGCGAAUACCGGAGAAUGUUAUCACGGGAGACACACGGCGGGUGCUAACGUCCGUCGUGAAGAGGGAAACAACCCAGACCGCCAGCUAAGGUCCCAAAGUCAUGGUUAAGUGGGAAACGAUGUGGGAAGGCCCAGACAGCCAGGAUGUUGGCUUAGAAGCAGCCAUCAUUUAAAGAAAGCGUAAUAGCUCACUGGUCGAGUCGGCCUGCGCGGAAGAUGUAACGGGGCUAAACCAUGCACCGAAGCUGCGGCAGCGACGCUUAUGCGUUGUUGGGUAGGGGAGCGUUCUGUAAGCCUGUGA